AUUGAACGCUGGCGGCAUGCCUUACACAUGCAAGUCGAACGGCAGCACGGGAGCAAUCCUGGUGGCGAGUGGCGAACGGGUGAGUAAUAUAUCGGAACGUGCCCAGUCGUGGGGAUAACGUAGCGAAAGCUACGCUAAUACCGCAUACGAUCUAUGGAUGAAAGCGGGGGAUCGCAAGACCUCGCGCGAUUGGAGCGGCCGAUAUCAGAUUAGGUAGUUGGUGAGGUAAAGGCUCACCAAGCCGACGAUCUGUAGCUGGUCUGAGAGGACGACCAGCCACACUGGGACUGAGACACGGCCCAGACUCCUACGGGAGGCAGCAGUGGGGAAUAUUGGACAAUGGGCGCAAGCCUGAUCCAGCCAUGCCGCGUGCAGGAUGACGGUCCUAUGGAUUGUAAACUGCUUUUAUACAGGAAGAAACACUCCGACGUGUCGGAGCUUGACGGUACUGUAAGAAUAAGG
rnacentral:rRNA from 1 species